AAGCGUUAUCCGGCCUUAUUGGGCGUAAAGAGCUCGUAGGCGGUUUGUCGCGUCUGCCGUGAAAGUCCGGGGCUCAACUCCGGAUCUGCGGUGGGUACGGGCAGACUAGAGUGAUGUAGGGGAGACUGGAAUUCCUGGUGUAGCGGUGAAAUGCGCAGAUAUCAGGAGGAACACCGAUGGCGAAGGCAGGUCUCUGGGCAUUAACUGACGCUGAGGAGCGAAAGCAUGGGGAGCGAACAGG
rnacentral:rRNA from 1 species